GCCGGUGAGGGCGGAGACGGGGCAAGCUGCAGGCAGCGCGGCCACGGGGCGGGUGCCCCCAAGUGCUCGGCCCCUCAGGAGGUGCCACGUCACAUAAAUGCCCCUCUCUGAUGCACGGGCGGGGCCGGGCAAUGACCGCACCAGGUGAAGUGGCCUUCGAUCUGUCAGAGACAAUCUGGGGUGGCGUGAGACAGACGUGGAAGGGAGCUGGCUUCUGGGCUCCGGGGUGAGCAGGAAAGGAAAUGGAGGAGGAAGAGAGGCAAGGGGGCUCCCGGGGCCCCUGCAGAGGGCACUGAAUACCCACUGAGAAGUCUUGGGAGUAAGUUGGCCCCGUCUCUCGGACCCUCACUGUGUCCGGACCAGCCUUCCACACGCGGUCUGAACCUGUCUGCACCUCUGGCCAGCGUGGGGGCAAAGCCCCAUCUCCCUAUGGUCCCUGGACUGCAUGAUGUUGGCCCCAGAGUGGAAGCUCCUCUGAGCUCCUUAUACAAACCACGCACAAGCAACGCGCCCUUUGCUGUAGGUGUCGCAAAGGAGGGUCUACCGGAAUCUGCUCCAGAGACGUCUCCCUGAGCUCACCCCAGGCUUUCUCCACCUGCUGGCUUCUGCCUCUCUCCCUCCUGCCCUGCCUUCUCUUCCUCUCCUCCCUUUUCAGGAGCAAGUCAUCAACAUUUUGCCCUCUGCCUCC